rnacentral:rRNA from 1 species
GUUAUCGUUUAUUUGAUAGUACCUUUACCUGGAUAACCGUGGUAAUUCUAGAGCUAAUACAUGCUAAAAACCUCGACUUCGGAAGGGGUGUAUUUAUUAGAUAAAAAACCAAUGCCCUUCGGGGCUCCUUGGUGAAUCAUAAUAACUUAACGAAUCGCAUGGCCUUGCGCCGGCGAUGGUUCAUUCAAAUUUCUGCCCUAUCAACUUUCGAUGGUAAGAUAGAGGCUUACCAUGGUCUUAACGGGUAACGGGGAAUUAGGGUUCUAUUCCGGAGAGGGAGCCUGAGAAACGGCUACCACAUCCAAGGAAGGCAGCAGGCGCGCAAAUUACCCAAUCCCGACACGGGGAGGUAGUGACAAUAAAUACUGAUACGGGGCUCUUUUGGGUCUCGUAAUUGGAAUGAGUACAAUCUAAAUCCCUUAACGAGGAACAAUUGGAGGGCAAGUCUGGUGCCAGCAGCCGCGGUAAUUCCAGCUCCAAUAGCGUAUAUUAAAGUUGUUGCCGUUAAAAAGCUCGUAGUUGAACCUUGGGCCUGGCUGACCUGUCCUCCUAAUCGAGCGCACGGGUUCGGUCGGGCCUUUCCUUCUAGGGAACCCCAUGCCCUUCACUGGGUGUGGUGGGGAACUAGGACUUUUACCUUGAAAAAAUUAGAGUGUUCAAAGCAGGCCUUUGCUCGAAUACAUUAGCAUGGAAUAAUAGAAUAGGACAUCGGUUCUAUUUUGUUGGUUUCUAGGACCGCCGUAAU